rnacentral:rRNA from 1 species
UCUGCUCAAUGAUUUUAAAUAGCCGCAAUUAUAUUGUGCUAAGGUAGCAUAAUCAUUUGUCUUUUAAUUAAAGACUAGAAUAAACGAUUUUACAUUUAAUUUAUUUUUUUUAAUUUAAAUUUUAAACUUUUUUUAAAUAUAAAAAAAUAUUUAUACAAAAAAAAGACAAAAAGACCCUAUUAAACUUUACUAAAGUUAAACUGGGGAAGUUAAUUAAUUAUUAUUUUAAUUUACAUAUUUUUUAUAGUCUAAUAUUAUUAAUAAAAAUAAGUUACUAUAGGGAUAACAGCGUAAAAUUUUUUAAAGAUCUUAUUUAAAAAAAAAAUUACGACCUCGAUGUUGAAUUAUUUUUUCUUAAAAAAGCAAAAAUUUUUAAAGAAAGUCUGUUCGACUUUUAAUUAUUUACAUGAUCUGAGUUCAAACCGGAG